rnacentral:rRNA from 1 species
UACGGAGGAUGCAAGCGUUAUCCGGAAUGCUUGGGCGUAAAGCGUCCGCAGGUGGCGAUGUAAGUCUGCUGUUAAAGAGUGAGGCUCAACCUCAUAAGAGCAGUGGAAACUACAUAGCUAGAGUACGUUCGGGGCAGAGGGAAUUCCUGGUGUAGCGGUGAAAUGCGUAGAGAUCAGGAAGAACACCAGUGGCGAAGGCGCUCUGCUAGGCCGUAACUGACACUGAGGGACGAAAGCUAGGGGAGCGAAUGGG